rnacentral:tRNA from 1 species
AUUUAGAUAGUUUAAUUAAAAUUUUGAUUUGUGAUAUCAAAGAUAUAUAAUAAUAUUCUAGAUA